GUCUAUACUUGUGGGGAAUGACCAGCUGUCUCCUACGGUGCCCCUUCUUCUCUGUAUGCCUGUACAAUCUGCCCUGUUCCCAUGCGAAUGUCUCGUGGUCUGACCCCCCCAGUCCCUGUGUCAGCUCUUUCCCUAUACUUCUGGAGUGUCGGGUCCGUUUUAGUCUCCGCCUCAAAGGCUGCCGGUGUAUCCCAGGGUAAGGUGAAGGGUAAUUAGUCACAGUCGGGGUUAGUCUUACCUGAGACUCCCGCACUGGUGAAGGGUCUUGGGUCCUUCCUGCUUGCGACUGGGUAGUGACAGGAUGUGCCUCCGAGUUGUAGGACGGAGCAUAUGCUGAAGUCAUGGGGCCCAGGUCAUUUCCCAGUAAAACCUUAGCUGGCAAGUUGUCAAUGAUUACCACCCGCACAAGUCCUUU